UGGGCAACCUGCCCUUCUCAUCGGAAUAAGCGUUGGAAACGACGUCUAAUGCCGAAUACGACCUCCUUUCGCAUGAUCGGAGGUGGAAAGCUCCGGCGGAGAAGGAUGAGCUCGCGGCCUAUCAGCUAGUUGGUGUGGGUAACGGCCCACCAAGGCGACGACGGGUAGCCGGCCUGAGAGGGUGACCGGCCACACGUGGGACUGAGACACCGGCCCAGACCUCCGUACGGGAGCAGNAGGUAGGG
rnacentral:rRNA from 1 species